AAAUAUGCAAAAUGCCUUAAAACAGAGAUGUGAACCAAACAAACCCCUAUAGUUACACGCUAUCUUGCCCAAUGGAGGAUGGAGCCAGAAAGGUUUUGUUAUAUCAACACCUCAACAACAGAAGAUGACAACAUAACAAAACUGUGUUAGCCUCAUAUGCUUCAAGCACGCAAAGAUCACCAGGUUCAGAUAUAGCCCCCAAUUAAUGAAGCUACAUCUCCUGAUUCCAUAAAGAAGGAUAGAAAAUUUCCUUCAAUUUUUUAGAUGCAUGCAACAAUAAGAUGACAUCUUUUGUUAUAAAUUAUGGCCAGAAAGGAACAACAAAAAU
rnacentral:lncRNA from 1 species